UUCAGGUGCUAGCACUGCCCCUGUUCGAGAUAACACCUACAUGACGUCAAAACAUGAAACACUAGGGCCCAUAGCUGUAAGAAACUCUUAUAAUGCAACAAAAAAUGGUUCCAAUCUUCCUCAUACUCCUUGCACAUGAACCACCACCUCAUCAUUAUCGUCUCCAUCUCUCAAAUUUUCAAAUGUAAGAAAUGCUUCACAUGCUAAAUACAAAGUGAAAAUGCAACUCCUCAGCAUCUUUGCAUUCUCUUUCCUACUAACCAAAGGCAAAAAAACGACUCUUCAAUUACAUAGACUCCAGAAUAUGAGGCUACUAAGAGCACAAAUAUCUUCACUCUCAACAUGUCCUCUAGAUUGUCCAAGUCCAUAUCCACAAAUUGACUGGAUGCUGCAACUAUUUACAUGCAUCACAAAUGAAGAGAGAUUCCAGCCAAUCUGACAACCCUAGAUCAGCGUCUCUUUUUUUCUCCAGAAACCAUGCACCUCAUUCUAUGCGACCACCAGGUUACCGGUGAAAAUGCAUGGGGCAGCCAACGGAAACAAAGAUUUGGCUAUUUAGCAAUUUCUCUAAAAGAUUUUCCAGUCAUAAUUUUAUGUUACCCUCUUCAUACCAGUUCUUCUAUGGAUUUCUAUCCUUCCCAAACAUCAACCACAACUUAUCAAGAAUAUAUCUAUUCAUAAAGGAUCGUCAGUGCAAUACUCUUUCCUUUUAGUCAGUCCCAUCUGUUCUAUGUGUUCCUCUCUAUCAUGCACUUGCUCUUUCAAAAUGGUUGCCGCAACACAUUUAAGAACAAUGCUGGUGUAUUCUUUCGUACAUGUCUCAAUCCCUUAAUAGUUCUUCAUAGAGUUUACAUUUCAUAAUCACAAUGGCUGCUACAAUACACUUAAGAACAGUUUGGUGUACUCUUUCAUACAUGUCUCAAUCCUCAAGAGUUCUUGUUCAGUCACAUUAUAGAAUUAUCAGUUAGAAUUUUUUAUUUUAUUUUUAUGGCAAGGUUAACACUUUGUUACCUGUUGAAGGUGAUCCAUUGUUCUCAGCGGCCUGGAAAAUUCAAAAUAAUAUGUACCGGAUUGGUUGCUGGACGAAUAUGGGCUGUCAUCCUUAAUAAAACCUGUUUCAAUAGUAUUAGAUGUUGGAACAAAGGUAGUAAAUGACAAGAGUUUUAAGACACAAUAACUAUCAAACAAUAAUAAAGAUUUUGCUACAUAGGCUUCCUAAAAUAUUUUCUUGACAAGUCAAAAGCCUCCGCAAUGAGAAGCCACAAUGGUCCAACAUAGAGGUACAGAACACAACCAAGGCCACUGCCUGCAACACAAGAUUAUCUUCCUUUAAUCUCUUUUUUUUUUUUUUUUGAUGGCAAGGGAAACCCGCAGCCGUUACCCUUUGGGUGCGCACAGGGUAAAACCCCCGCUCCUAUGCAAUAGCUCGCAAACCACAUAGGAGAGGUAACCCGCACUAGGCAAGCCCGGUCCGACGAGCUCGACACAGAAGGCAGACCCCUUGCUUUCGCUGGCAAGGGGUUUCGAACUUGAGACCUCCUACAUGGAAGUCCCAAGCCCAAACCACUGGGCCACCCCUAAGGGUUUAUCAGUUAGAAAUUAGCCUUAGGGCUUAUUAAGACACAGUCAAUUUUUCACUUCAACUUAAGUUGCUAGUUCUAACAACUUACCAAGUAAGAAAAGAAUAUUUCCCUCAUAAGAUUUCACCAUUUUUCCAAGUGAAAUGCAUGUCCAACAUCAUUUCAAUUUCCAAAUACCCUUUCUUAUCGUACCGGCAUGACCCCACUGAUUUGUUUUCGAUCAGAGCAUCAAGCAUGCAACCCAGUUCUACUUGACUAAACCUAUGCUCCUCCAAGGAGAGAGUUUGCUUUACCCAACUCCAUUUUUGAUAACAAGGCAGUUCCUCCCGAUAAAAUAGAAGGACAGCUGGUGUUGAAGCUCCGCUCUCCUUUGUAUAUCAGGAAGGAAAGGGCGUUCUAGUUCCGGAACCAGAACGGGGCACGGAGUGGGCGCAACCUCGAGCUAGGAAAUGUGUAGUUGUGCUUACAGGCUUGGAACUCUGAUGAAUGAAGUAAGAAUUUCGGGCUAGGGCUUAAGAAUUAACAUCUAGGUGCUUGUCUAGUUCCCGGUGAGACCGUUGACUUUGCGACAUCCCGAGGUUACCGCCUUCUUUGCUUGAAGCUCAUGUAUUCUUCCUUCACUCACAUAUGAAAUUGAAGCAAACUUAACUUCAAAUAUCAUCAAAUUAACCACACGCCUAUUACAACAACAUAUCCCAUGUAAUCCCACAAGUGCGGCCUGGGGAUGGGAAGAUGCCCACAUGCCAACUAAAUCAUUAAAUUCUCAACAUCAUCUCAGGUAGAUUUAAGCCCACAGUAAAUAGAACCACCUUCAAAGAUUUGGUCUUGCACCUCUAUAUAGUAAAAAAAUUUAUCUGAAAUUGUUGGUUAUAUCUAUCCUAUGCCUUCCUAAUACUUCUAGACCUUACUUUUAACCACUCAUAUGGUGAUGCCCAAUCAACCACAACCUACAUCCCCAUAUUUAUCUUUCCAUUCUAACACAAAAUAAGGACCACCCUGCAAGAUGAAAUUUAAACUUGACAUGCAUAGAUAAUACCAGUUACUUGCAAAGAAGUUGUUUUUUAUGGCAAAAGACUCCUAGUAAAUAUUUAUACUAAUGCACGUACUGAACCUCGCAAAAAAUAGAAGCUAGUAACUUUUUGUGAUUAUACCGGGUAUGUCGUUGUUGUGAUAUGUUAAUUGCUACUUCUUUUUUUUAUCAUUUUCUAUAUUUGUUGUAUGUGGUUUUAUCUUUUAUGUUAGUUAUCAACAUUUUUCAAUAUAUUAUUUUGGGUAAUUAUGGUCUCCGGAUCAGCUUGCGCACCACUCAAUUAAUUCCUACCUACCACCACUACUAGUAACUCUAUCCACCAAGGCUAGAACAUAUGGAAAGAAAUCACCUAGUGUUUUAUCCCUGUUGGGAUUUGAACCUGAGACCUCGUGGUGCUCAACCCACUUCAUUGACCACUAGACCACACCCUUAAUCAACAUUUUUCAAAUAUUCGGCUAAGAUCCUCAUAUUUAAAUAUCAAUACAAGCUCCUCUCAUGCAGAGGGUGCUAAGUGCUUUCCGCGCCUAUAUAAGUGGUAGCCAAAUAUAUAGGACUAAGAAGAAAGAUAUAAGGUUUAAUCAGUCAAUAAGCAUCGGUAUUUACUGAACAAAUGCACUCAAGAAAUGUAAAUCCAACAUUAAGCAUCUUAAGAAAACGACUACCU
rnacentral:lncRNA from 1 species